AUAAUAAUUAGUCUUUUAAUUGAAGGCUGGUAUGAAGGAUUGGACGAGAUAAUUACUGUCUCAUUAAAAUUAAAAUUUAAUUUAAUUUUUAAGUAAAAAAGCUUAAAUAUAAUUAUAGGACGAGAAGACCCCAUAGAGCUUUAUAUUAUAUUAAUAUUUUUUAUAAAAUUAUAUUAAAUUUUAAUUUAAUAUUUUAUUGGGGCGAUAGAAAAAUUUAAUAAACUUUUUUGAAUCAUAAACAAAAAUUAUUGAAAUUUUGAUCCUAAAUUUUAGAUUAUUAGAUUAAGUUACCUUGGGGAUAACAGCGUUAUUUUUUUUAGAAGUUCAUAUUAAUAAAAAAGAUUGC
rnacentral:rRNA from 1 species